GAUAAACGCUGGCGGCGUGCAUAACACAUGCAAGUCGAACGAUGAAGAUUAAAAGAUUUCUUCGGAAUGAACUUAAUUGGAUUAGUGGCGGACGGGUGAGUAACGCGUGAGUAACCUGCCUUGUACAAGGGGAUAGCCGUUGGAAACGACGAAUAAUACCCUAUGACAUCAACUAAUCGCAUGAUAAUUUGCUCAAAGAUUUAUCGGUAUAAGAUGGACUCGCGUCUGAUUAGCUAGUUGGUAGAGUAAAAGCCUACCAAGGCAACGAUCAGUAGCCGGCUUGAGAGAGUGUACGGCCACAUUGGGACUGAGACACGGCCCAGACUCCUACGGGAGGCAGCAGUGGGGAAUUUUGCACAAUGGGGGAAACCCUGAUGCAGCGACGCCGCGUGAUUUAGAAGGCCUUCGGGUUGUAAAAAUCUUUUGUAUGGGAAGAAAAUGACAGUACCAUACGAAUAAGGACCGGCUAAUUACGUG
rnacentral:rRNA from 1 species